GAUCGUGGCUCAGGAUGAACGCUGGCGGCGUGCUUAACACAUGCAAGUCGAACGAAGCACUUAAGAUUGAUUCUUCGGAUGAUUUCUUUUGUGACUUAGUGGCGGACGGGUGAGUAGCGCGUGGGUAACCUGCCUCACACAGGGGGAUAACAGUUAGAAAUGACUGCUAAUACCGCAUAACCCGAUAGGAUCGCAUGAUCCAGACGGAAAAGAUUUAUCGGUGUGAGAUGGACCCG
rnacentral:rRNA from 1 species